GACAGAGGAUGCAAGCGUUAUCCGGAAUGAUUGGGCGUAAAGCGUCUGUAGGUGGCUUUUUAAGUCCGCCGUCAAAUCCCAGGGCUCAACCCUGGACAGGCGGUGGAAACUACCAAGCUGGAGUACGGUAGGGGCAGAGGGAAUUUCCGGUGGAGCGGUGAAAUGCGUAGAGAUCGGGAGGAACAUCUGUGGCGAAGGCGACUACCUGGACCAGCACUGACACUGAGGCACGAAAGCGUGGGGAGCAAACAGGG
rnacentral:rRNA from 1 species